GGAGGAAAGUAGGGGAUCGCAAGACCUUGCGCUUUUUGAGCGGCCGAUGCCUGAUUAGCUAGUUGGUAAGGUAAUGGCUUACCAAGGCAACGAUCAGUAGCUGGUCUGAGAGGACGACCAGCCACACUGGGACUGAGACACGGCCCAGACUCCUACGGGAGGCAGCAGUGGGGAAUUUUGGACAAUGGGCGAAAGCCUGAUCCAGCCAUGCCGCGUGAGUGAAGAAGGCCUUCGGGUUGUAAAGCUCUUUCGGUCGGGAAGAAAUAGUUGUGGCUAAUAUCCACAAUGAAUGACGGUACCGACAUAAGAAGCACCGGCUAACUACGUGCCAGCAGCCGCGGUAAUACGUAGGGUGCAAGCGUUAAUCGGAAUUAUUGGGCGUAAAGGGUGCGCAGGCGGUUGUAUAAGUCAGAUAUGAAAUCCCUGGGCUUAACCUAGGAAUUGCGUUUGAAACUACAAAGCUAG
rnacentral:rRNA from 1 species